UAAAUAUUGUCUAAAUCCGGCACCCAGGACGACACACAGGCUUCCCAUUGUCUGCCACACAGCAGGUCUCGGCCACGGCCCAGGUUGAUGUUGGACCGUAUUUACAUUCAGUGUUUGGGGCUGACCGGGAAGAAAUCUGAAAGUGGAAGAGAAGGGAAGGCACCGGUAACCUCGUCUUCCCAAGAGGAGGUCAGAGGGCAGUUCAGACAUUGAAGGAAGAGACAAAGAGCCUUGAAUGUCACGAAAAGGAGGUUGGACUUUAUCCUGCAGGCAAUCAGAAGCCAGAAAGGUUUCAGGAUGGAUGGGCUGAUCAGAUUUGAGUUUCAACAGGCCACUGUGCUGCUACAGACACCCAGACACCGGAGCUCCAGCCGGGGCAGGCUGCAGGAUGCCCAGCCGUGUCCCCAGGAUGCCCUGCACGCUGUCCUGAAAACUAACCUGUAACUGCAGCUCUUGGAGCCUUCCGGAACCCAGAUCCCCACCUGAGAUCAAACCAAAGACCUGGUUUAAGGUCCCUGGUUUGGCUUGUUGCCACCCAACGCUGCCCCAGUU
rnacentral:lncRNA from 1 species